UUUUGAUUAGAUGAAAACCAAGAUUAUAUACUCGAUAAAAAGGUAUGACGAAUAUUGAACAAGCUGAGUUACUCCAAUAAAUUCUCACUGAGAGUAACGCAUUUGGAAGCAGAACAUGCGAAUGUGGCUUGGAGUAAUUUUUAUUUCCCAGAUAGUCGUUUAUUUUGUUUAGAUGUUGUUGUAGAUAUGUUGCUCUACAUAAGAGUUUGUAUGGUUUGCUAAUAUUGCUUCUUAAAUGAUGUCGUUAUAUUUCUACUUGUCGGGAGACCAGAAGUAAACACAAUUUGCUCAGGGUAGGAAGAAAUUAGAUAAGUCUGUAAGUAAUGUUAUUAGAAAAUAUUCUAGGUUUAGGGAUAAGGGUAAUUUAGGAAUUAUUUUCCAUUCUAACAAGACUAUAACUUUCCUAAGAAGUUCUUUGAUAGUUUUUCUGUGUUAUAACUUGGGGCUUUAUUAGGAUGUCUAAUCAUUGCCUUUGCUUCUUCUACUGUGAAUGAAGAAAUUUGUGCAGAAUGUAUUAAAGCAACGUGUUUUGGAGUAAAAAGUGUAUGUAUCUUGAAGAACUCUCUCUUUCAUUGUUAAUAACUGGUAAAUUUCCAUGUAGCUGCUGCUUUGUAGAUCAUUACCUAAUUUUUUAUAGAUAAUCGGGAUUUUCUAUCUUAUCAGCUGAUAUAAAUCUCUUUCAAACCCAAUUAUGUUUUCUCCAGGUCCAAUGCUUAUCUAGAUAUUUGACAUCUUUCAUUGUCAUAUAAUUUGAUUAGAAUUUGUUUAGAGAGACUUCUGGACAUUUGCCUUAACAGUUGGUGAAAGUUACCUUCAUCUCUUUUGCUUUAAUUUGUCAUUUCUUUAACCAGUUUUACACCUUAUUGAGGUGAGUUUUGGAACCAUUGAUAUUCAUACUAAACACACUGUUUACACUACACAAACAUUCACAAUUACACUGUCUGAUGCACGUUUCUAAACUUCACCUUCAGUCUCUGAAGAAGAUAACUUCGUAAUAGUAUAAUUGUGUGUUGGUGUAGUGGUAGUGUAAACAGUGUAUUCAAAGCUGUAGUGUACUUAAUGCUACAGCAGGAUUAAAUUGUUAAGAGUGAAAAAAUUACAAAUUGUUUAAUAAAUGCGGCUUUUUAUUUUAUAUACAAAAAUACAAUUUUAAAUUCUAAAUAAACUGACUCAACAAAUAUAUAUUUACAGUGGUAUUACACUAAAUAGACACAUAUGUGGUAAAAUACUUAAUAAGUAAAAAGAUUGGAGACUUUUCGAGAAAAAUUUUACAACUUACAAAAUUUGGUAGACUCUAUUUUUUUGUAUAUAGAGAGUGCAAAAACUCUAGUUUCAAAUGUAAAUUAUAUAUCCUAGAUGUUAUUUUAUGUUCCUCUAAAUUAAUUUACUUUUAUUCAAAAGUUUUUUCCGUUGAUGUAUUGAAAAGAACAUACAUCGGAUUCUAUUUGUUGACAAAUUUCAGAAUAAAUUUGAAAACUAUAAGGAAAGGACAACUUUUUUAGGAAAAUACUUUUUAUAGCUUUUUAAUUUAAAGAAAAUUUGAUGUUCGAUUCAAUUUUUUGAGCAUAUUUCCUGUAAAUUUUGAAAUUAUGAAUAAAUUUCUUACAACAGAAUAAAACGGACUAUAGUUAACAAUUUGUCAUUGCAGGCUCAUACAAUGUACAAAAUUUGCAUGUAGUGAUUUUGAUAUCCUUAAAGAACCGCUAUCUUAAGAGAAAUUUUUGUAUAAAAGUAAAUGAGCUUAAAAAGAUUUAAAAUCAUAUGUAGUUUGCUUUUAGCUUAAGGGUUUUUGAACACACUAUAUAUUUGAAAUAAUUUUAACAAUAGUAAAAGAUUCAUAUAAAAUAAAAAAUUGAUUAUGUGAAUAUUUGAAUACAUCAUUACAGUAUACGUUGUUGUAAAAUUAUUCAGUACUGGAUUGUGUGACUAUGCUAGAAAUUUAAUUAUUUUGUUCUUAUAAUAAAAAAAUAUGACGAUAUAACAGGGCUGAAAAUAUUUAAACAACGAAAUUUUGUGUUUCUAUUAAUCAAAAAAGUUUUAAAACAAAGCAUGAAUAAUGGAAUUGAGUUUGACACCGUAAUAUCAUCACACCAACACUAACAAUUAUAAUAUCUGAUUAUUUGAGGCUCAAACCAAAUAAACCAGCAACUAAUGGAGGGUCAAAGAACCAGAUAGUGUAAUUGUAGCAAACAGUGUGUUCACUACUCAAAAAAUCAAACAUUUCAGUUAGAAUUCAAGAAGGACUAGAAUUAGGCUCUAACUGGAUACAAACUAACAACUAUUAAGACUUUGAAGAACUAGAAAAUGCAUAUGUGAGGGUAGUUGUAGAAAACGUGUGUUCAGUACCCAAAAAUCAAAAGUUACGAUUAAAAUUCAAGAAGGACUAGAAUGAUGCUCAAACUGAAUAUAAACUAGCAAUUAAUGGAAGUUUGAAGAACUACUAAGUGAAUAUGUGAGUGUAGUUGUAGCAAAAAGUGUGUUCAGUACUCAAGAAAUCAAAUGUUAUGGUUAGAAUUCAAGAAGGACUAGAAUGAGGCUCAAACUGGAUAUAAAUUAGCAAUUAAUGGAAGUUUGAAAAACUUGAAAGUGUAUAUGUGAGUGUAGUUGUAACAAACUGUGUGUACAGUACCCAGAAAACCAAAUGUUAGGGUUAGAAUUCAAGAUGAGAAACUAGGGAUUCAAUUUGAGACGAGGAAAUUCUAGGUUGAUAUAAAAUUAGUUUGUUGAGGGCUAAAGAAGAGUUAUAUGUAUGGAUAUGAACAAAAUAUAUGAAUAUUCAUAAAAUUAGUUGAUUUUUGAUGAAAGACCAAUUAUUUUGAAUUUUUGUGUAGAAUAAAAACACAAAACUCAAUAUUAUUCCUUAAAAAUAUGGGUUUUUUAUUGAAAAAAAAUAUCACUGUCAUUAUACUGUUUUGCCACACAAAGCCAUGUCCAACUCGCCCAAGAUUGUUCGAAUAAGUACAUAAAACAGGUAUUUUUUUCAUAUCCUAAUAAAAAAUCUUUAUUUUCAAAUAAUUUUUCCAGAUUUAAAAUUAUUGUGAAUAUUUAUAUGCAUCAAGUGGAUUUUCUUACAAUGUAUCCUGAUUUGGAGUUACCCUAUUUCAAUAAAAAAAAAAUUGACAGAAAAUAAUAACGGAAAAAUAUGUGCAAGGAAUAUUGAAUGCUAUGUGGAAUUUAGUACAGGCUAAAAAUGAUUAUUGCUGAAAAUUAAAGUUUGGAAUUGAGGCACUAAUGGUUGUUCCACAACUAAAAUGUACCUUUAUUAAUUCUGAUCUCAAAAAAUUAUUACAUUUGUUUUUUAUUCAGAAAAAAAUGCUGCAAAAUCAUGUUUUAUUAUUAAAAUGGUGAAAAUCAUUAAAAACUUUGGUAUUUGAGAUUUUAAAAUACAGAUUUUGAUUCACACUGUAUUUACAGGACUUUUAAAAGCAUUUUAAUGAUCGUUUUGACCCAAUAGAAAGUUUUAAUAACAAAAACUUUUGUUUUUGACAUUACAACUGUCCUAGAUAAAAAAUUCAAUAUAUAGUGUGUAUUAAAAAGUAGGAAUUUUUAAAUAAUAAUCGAAAUGGAAGAUUAUAAAGUUAAAAAAUUAGUUUCUAACGAUUAAAAUCCCACAAUUUUAAUUCACACUAUAUUUCCAGGACUUUUUGAAGCAUUUAAAUGAUUCAUUUGACCCAAUAGAAAGUUUGGAUAACAAAAAAUUCUGUUUUCGAAAAAUAUAACUGUCCUAGAUAAAAUAUUCAAUAUAUGUAUUAAAAAGUGGGAAUUUUUAAAUUGUGGAAAAAAAUCCCGAUAUUUUGUAAUAUAAGAAAACCAUAGUUUAUUUUAUAAAUAAAAUUAAAAAGUUUAAUAAAUAAAACGACUUAAAACCAGUAUUCGGAAACAUACAUACACUAAAAAAAAAGUAGAAACUGCAUUUUUGGAUUGUUUUAAAAAUAUAAACAGUCAGAAGUGGUAGAAGAAAUUUAAUUACUGGAUAAUGGCAAAAGACGUAACUUUGUGUCGAUAAAAAUAAAAAUCAUUAAUAUAUAUAUAUAUAUACAUACACUACACCUCAUAGUUGAUUAAUUUAACUAAAUUAAUAUUUAAAAUACCUCCAAAAAUAUAAAUUCCCUUAUACUACCACGUCCAAACCAUUUUAUUUUCCUAAAUCGCAUUUUUUAUAAAUAGAAACAAAAAUUAUUUAAAAAAUAAAAUUCGAUCUAAUCUACUCGAUUUUUUUGCUAUUAUGUUUUGCUAUAGAUUGUGUUACGAAACCUUUCGUGCUACCAUUCGAAUAGCAAGCUUCAUAAGAAUCCGUAAACUCCCCUUUGAUGUAAGUAUUGUUAAGAGUGCCGUUGCUGUUGGAUUUUUUGAUACCGUUGGAAUUUUCGUCGUCCAAAAUAGGC